GUGAGUAUGAGUUGUAUAUUUGUACUUGUAUAGUUAGUUACUGUACAAUUGUAGUGGAAAUGUAUUGUAAGUUCGUGUAAUGCUUACUUUAUUGUAUUGGUAUAGUACUGUAUCAUAGUAAGUUUGUAUUUUCUUAUGUAAGACAGACUGUAUUUUGUGACAGGGACAAUUCUUGUGACAUUUGACAAAUAUUAUGGACAUACACAUGUUAUGAUGAGGACAUCAUUUCUGAACUGGGGGAAGUGUGUAACCAGUCAAAAAUUCUAUUUAAAAGUUGUCUCCCUUGUGUGCAUAGUUGUUUUUGGCCUAUUUUCUUUCCUGUACAUUGAAUCUGUUGGGCAAGUUUUCUUUCCCGCUCUGGCAGUAGUAUUUCAUGAGUUGAGCUGGAAGGACAUGCUUUUUUUCAAAUUUAAUUUAAGAGCCGUGCUUCUUUGAGAGCUUAACAUCUUCACGGAGAAUCCUGUGUGUAAGAUCAGUGUGUGAGGGUAAAGCAGCCAUUCCAUAAAUGGUUGUCUUCAUAUCUGGAAUUCAACAUUGAAUAUUGAAUAUUUAAUAUGUAGUACUAUAAUAAAGUAUAAAACAACCUUAUAAAAGGUUUACAUGUCUUAAAUCUUCCUGAACAUUAACGAACCCGCACUCGUGAAAC